rnacentral:rRNA from 1 species
GACGAACGCUGGCGGCGUGCUUAACACAUGCAAGUCGAACGAAAAGGCCCUGCUUUUGUGGGGUGCUCGAGUGGCGAACGGGUGAGUAACACGUGAGUAACCUGCCCUUGACUUUGGGAUAACUUCAGGAAACUGGGGCUAAUACCGGAUAGGAGCUCCUGCUGCAUGGUGGGGGUUGGAAAGUUUCGGCGGUUGGGGAUGGACUCGCGGCUUAUCAGCUUGUUGGUGGGGUAGUGGCUUACCAAGGCUUUGACGGGUAGCCGGCCUGAGAGGGUGACCGGCCACAUUGGGACUGAGAUACGGCCCAGACUCCUACGGGAGGCAGCAGUGGGGAAUAUUGCACAAUGGGCGGAAGCCUGAUGCAGCAACGCCGCGUGCGGGAUGACGGCCUUCGGGUUGUAAACCGCUUUCGCCUAUGACGAAGCGUGAGUGACGGUAAUGGGUAAAGAAGCACCGGCUAACUACGUG